rnacentral:misc_RNA from 1 species
CUCUCUCUCUCUCUCUGAUUUUCUAAAUUCAAUCUUCAAUCCAAUAUUUAUAUAGCACCCAAAUAAAGCAAGAAUCCUUCAAAAGCCAGACGGAUCAAAAGAAAAUUACAAUAAACUCGCUUCUCAUCACUUUCCCUGCCAUUUUCCUUGCUCGCUUGAAUCACCUCCCUGUCCCAGCCUCUUUUGAGGCUGGGUCUCCGCCGUGCUCUUCCCCCUACCACCACCGUUGCCCCAUCAUUAAUUUUCUUAGAAGAGAAGGGUUUGUUUCUUGUGCUUGCCCUUAAAUCUUGAUUGAUUGAAUUGGG